rnacentral:lncRNA from 1 species
UCUAAUUAUAAACUAAGCAAAGAAGAUCCGAGUAACCGGAAAUAAGCGUUGAUUGGUCGAAAUAUUUCAAGAUGUCUAACUUGCCAAAAUUGAAAGUAGAAAGUAUUGAAUGUUGAAAAAAGUGGAUUAUCCAGACCCAGAAAGGUCUUUGAUCAUAGUAAGGCACACGAAAAUGUAGAAAAACCGUUUAUCUAUUAGUUUAUUCAUGUACUGAUGUCUGAAAAAUGCAGAAAAAGCGACAAUAUGAGCGCAAACAAAUUGUCCGCGAUCUCCUGUUUUGAAUGGGCACUGCUUUCUGUCUCUAUAUUGCACAAUAAAAAAAAAAAAAAAAUAGAAAAUAGCAAAAUCAAUAAAAAGCAAAUGUAAAUUAGGAAAUAUAUGCAUUAUAGGGACAGAAGAAUUCGGUCUAUCAUAACAGGUACAUUUUGAAAGUCCAAAAUGUUUUAAAUGCCAGUCAAUAGAAGAAGAUCAACAUACAACUGCAACCGAUCGUCG